GACGAACGCUGGCGGCGUGCUUAACACAUGCAAGUCGAACGGAAAGGCCCUGCUUUUGUGGGGUGCUCGAGUGGCGAAUGGGUGAGUAACACGUGAGUAACCUGCCCUUGACUUUGGGAUAACUUCAGGAAACUGGGGCUAAUACCGGAUAGGAGCUCCUGCUGCAUGGUGGGGGUUGGAAAGUUUCGGCGGUUGGGGAUGGACUCGCGGCUUAUCAGCUUGUUGGUGGGGUAGUGGCUUACCAAGGCUUUGACGGGUAGCCGGCCUGAGAGGGUGACCGGCCACAUUGGGACUGAGAUACGGCCCAGACUCCUACGGGGGGCAGCAGUGGGGAAUAUUGCACAAUGGGCGGAAGCCUGAUGCAGCAACGCCGCGUGCGGGAUGACGGCCUUCGGGUUGUAAACCGCUUUCGCCUGUGACGAAGCGUGAGUGACGGUAAUGGGUAAAGAAGCACCGGCUAACUACGUGCCAGCAGCCGCGGUGAUACGUAGGGUGCGAGCGUUGUCCGGAUUUAUUGGGCGUAAAGGGCUCGUAGGUGGUUGAUCGCGUCGGAAGUGUAAUCUUGGGGCUUAACCCUGAGCGUGCUUUCGAUACGGGUUGACUUGAGGAAGGUAGGGGAGAAUGGAAUUCCUGGUGGAGCGGUGGAAUGCGCAGAUAUCAGGAGGAACACCAGUGGCGAAGGCGGUUCUCUAGGCCUUUCCUGACGCUGAGGAGCGAAAGCGUGGGGAGCGAACAGGCUUAGAUACCCUGGUAGUCCACGCUGUAAACGGUGGGUACUAGGUGUGGGGUCCAUUCCACGGGUUCCGUGCCGUAGCUAACGCUUUAAGUACCCCGCCUGGGGAGUACGGCCGCAAGGCUAAAACUCAAAGGAAUUGACGGGGCCCCGCACAAGCGGCGGAGCAUGCGGAUUAAUUCGAUGCAACGCGUAGAACCUUACCUGGGUUUGACAUGGAUCGGGAGUGCUCAGAGAUGGGUGUGCCUCUUUUGGGGUCGGUUCACAGGUGGUGCAUGCCUGUCGUCAGCUCGUGUCGUGAGAUGUUGGGUUAAGUCCCGCAACGAGCGCAACCCUUGUUCACUGUUGCCAGCACGUUAUGGUGGGGACUCAGUGGAGACCGCCGGGGUCAACUCGGAGGAAGGUGGGGAUGACGUCAAGUCCUCAUGCCCCUUAUGUCCAGGGCUUCACGCAUGCUACAAUGGCUGGUACAGAGAGUGGCGAGCCUGUGAGGGUGAGCGAAUCUCGGAAAGCCGGUCUCAGUUCGGAUUGGGGUCUGCAACUCGACCUCAUGAAGUCGGAGUCGCUAGUAAUCGCAGAUCAGCAACGCUGCGGUGAAUACGUUCCCGGG
rnacentral:rRNA from 1 species